UUGCGUAGGUGGUUUAUUAAGCGAGUAGUGAAAUCUGACGGCUCAACCGUACAGGCUAUUAUUCGAACUGGUAAACUCGAGAAUGGUAGAGGUAACUGGAAUUUUUUGUGUAGGAGUGAAAUCCGUAGAUAUAAGAAGGAACACCAAUGGCGUAGGCAGGUUACUGGACCAUUUCUGACACUGAGGCACGAAAGCGUGGGGAGCGAACG
rnacentral:rRNA from 1 species